rnacentral:rRNA from 1 species
CGCGCAGGCGGUCGUUCAAGUCGAGUGUGAAAGCCCCCGGCUCAACUGGGGAGGGUCACUCGAUACUGAUCGACUCGAAGGCAGGAGAGGGAAGUGGAAUUCCCGGUGUAGUGGUGAAAUGCGUAGAUAUCGGGAGGAACACCAGUGGCGAAGGCGACUUCCUGGCCUGUUCUUGACGCUGAGGCGCGAAGCUAGGGGAGCAAACG